AACGCACCUUGCGCUCCUUGGUAUUCCGAGGAGCAUGCCUGUUUGAGUGUCAUGAAAUCUUCAACCUAUAAGCUUUUGUGGUUUGUAGGCUUGGACUUGGAGGCUUGUCGGCCUUGAUCGGUCGGCUCCUCUUAAAUGCAUUAGCUUGAUUCCUUGCGGAUCGGCUCUCGGUGUGAUAAUAUCUACGCCGCGACCGUGAAGCGUUUGGCGAGCUUCUAACCGUCUCACUUGAGAGACAAAUUUAUGACCUCUGACCUCAAAUCAGGUAGGACUACCCGCUGAACUUAA
rnacentral:misc_RNA from 1 species